CGUAGGUGGCAAGCGUUGUCCGGAUUUACUGGGCGUAAAGGGAGCGUAGGCGGAUUUUUAAGUGAGAUGUGAAAUACCCGGGCUUAACUUGGGUGCUGCAUUUCAAACUGGAAGUCUAGAGUGCAGGAGAGGAGAAGGGAAUUCCUAGUGUAGCGGUGAAAUGCGUAGAGAUUAGGAAGAACACCAGUGGCGAAGGCGCUUCUCUCGACUGUAACUGACGCUGAGGCUCGAAAGCGUGGGGAGCAAACAGGAUUAGAUACCCUGGUAGU
rnacentral:rRNA from 1 species